AACGAACGCUGGCGGCAGGCCUAACACAUGCAAGUCGAGCGGACCUUUCGGGGUCAGCGGCGGACGGGUGAGUAACGCGUGGGAAUAUGCCCUUCUCUACGGAAUAGUCCUGGGAAACUGGGGGUAAUACCGUAUACGCCCUUUGGGGGAAAGAUUUAUCGGGGAAGGAUUAGCCCGCGUUGGAUUAGGUAGUUGGUGGGGUAAUGGCCUACCAAGCCGACGAUCCAUAGCUGGUUUGAGAGGAUGAUCAGCCACACUGGGACUGAGACACGGCCCAGACUCCUACGGGAGGCAGCAGUGGGGAAUCUUAGACAAUGGGGGCAAACCUGAUCUAGCCAUGCCGCGUGAGUGAUGAAGGCCUUAGGGUUGUAAAGCUCUUUCAGCUGGGAAGAUAAUGACGGUACCAGCAGAAGAAGCCCCGGCUAACUCCGUG
rnacentral:rRNA from 1 species